GUUUUCUUAAGUUAAUGAUACAGCUAUCAUCUCAAACAAAUGAACUUUAUCAGCUUGCUGCGGUGGCCUUCUGCUUAUUAUCUGCUUGGUGCAGCGACAAGCUUGGCCUUAGUCUUGAGUUGGGUUCAUUUGUGGCUGGAGUUAUGAUAUCUACCACUGACUUCGCACAACAUACCUUAGACCAGGUGGAACCAAUUCGUAACUUGUUUGCGGCUCUCUUCCUUUCUAGUAUUGGAAUGCUCAUACAUGUACAUUUUCUGUGGAACCAUGUGGAUAUAUUGCUAGCAUCUGUGAUUCUCGUUAUAGUGGUUAAGACAGCUGUUGCUGCUAUGGUUACUAAAGCCUUUGGUUAUGGCAUGAGG
rnacentral:misc_RNA from 1 species